GACGAACGCUGGCGGCGUGCUUAACACAUGCAAGUCGAACGGUGAUGCUCCAGCUUGCUGGCGUGGAUCAGUGGCGCACGGGUGAGUAACACGUGAGCAACCUGCCCCAGUCUCUGGAAUAAGCGCUGGAGACGGCGUCUCAUACUGGAUACGAAACUGGCAAGCAUGGGCUUGGUUUGGAAAGUUGUUCGGUUUUGGAUGGGAUCGCGGCCUAUCAGCUUGAUGGUGAGGUAGUUGCUCACCAAGGCAACGACGGCUAGCCGGCCUGAGAGGGCUACCGGCCACACUGGGACUGAGACACGGACCAGACUCCUACGGUAGGCAGCAGUGGGGAAUAUUGCACAGUGGGCGAAAGCCUGAGGCAGCGACGCCGCGAGAGGGAAGACGGCUUUCGGGGGAUAAACCACUUUCAGCAGGGAAGAAGCGAAAGUGACGGUACCUGCAGAAGAAGCACCGGCUAACUACGUG
rnacentral:rRNA from 1 species